rnacentral:rRNA from 1 species
AAUAGAUACCCGGCUAGUCCACGCCGUAAACGAUGAGUACUAGUUAUUGGAGGUAUUGACUCCUUCAGUGACGCAGCUAACGCAUUAAGUACUCCGCCUGGGAAGUACGGUCGCAAGACUAAAACUCAAACAAAUUGACGGGGGCCCGCACAAGCGGUGGAUUAUGUGGUUUAAUUCGAAGCAACGCGCAGAACCUUACCUAGGCUUGAACUCCUACGAAUCCGGGGUAAUGCCUGGAGUGUCCGCAAGGAAAUGUAGUGAGAGGUGCUGCAUGGCUGUCGUCAGCUCGUGUUGUGAAAUGUUGGGUUAAGUCUCGCAACGAGCGCAACCCCUAUCGUCUGUUGCCAGCAUUAAGUUGGGCACUCUGACGAGACUGCCUGGGUUAACCAGGAGGAAGGUGGGGAUGACGCCAAGUCCUCAUGGCCCUUAUGUCUAGGGCUACACACGUAAUACAAUGGCGCGUACAAAGGGAAGCGAACUCGCAAGGGGAAGCAAAUCUCAAAAAGCGCGCCUCAGUUCGGAUUGGAGU